AAUAUCUCAAGCUAUAAAGAGCCAACGGUGGAUGCCUUGGCGCCAGAUGCCGAUGAAGGACGUGGGUGGCUGCGAAAAGCUACGGGGAGCUGUCUACCAAGCUUUGAUCCGUAGAUGUCCGAAUGGGGAAACCCAGUUAGGGUAAUGCCUAAUUACCUCUGCCUGAAUAUAUAGGGCAGUUGGAGGGAACCGGGGAAACUGAAACAUCUAAGUACCCCGAGGAAAGGAAAACAAAAGUGACUCCCUGAGUAGCGGCGAGCGAAACGGGACCAAGCCUAAACCUAUGCAGUGGUACAGCCUGCCGGCGAUGCUGCAUGGGUGUCGUGGGACUUGCUAGGAAUCUCGGCAGUGAUUCCAGGGGCAAUAGUCAAUCGCUAGUGGAAGCGUUCUGGAAAGGCGCGUCAUAGAGGGUAAUAACCCCGUACACGAAAGCCAUUGACACCCCAGCGAUGUUCCCAAGUAACGCGGGAUCCGGGAAAGCCCGCGUGAAUCUGCGAGGACCACCUCGUAAGGCUAAGUACAGUCUGGCGACCGAUAGUGCACGAGUACCGUGAGGGAAUGGUGAAAAGUACCCCGGGAGGGGAGUGAAAUAGAACCUGAAACCGUUGGCUUACAAGCAGUUAAAGCGGUGGCUAGUCCACCGUAAUAGCGUGCCUUUUGAAGAAUGAGCCGGCGAGUUACCGUUUGUGGCGAGGUUAAGCCGAGAGGUGGAGCCGGAGCGAAAGCGAGUCUGAAUAGGGCGUAUAGUCGCAGGCGGUAGACCCGAAGCUGAGUGAUCUAUCCAUGGGCAGGCUGAAGCGAGGGUAAGACCUCGUGGAGGGCCGAACCCACCAUGGUUGAAAACAUGGGGGAUGACCUGUGGUUAGGGGUGAAAGGCCAAUCAAACUCAGUGAUAGCUGGUUCUCCCCGAAAUGCAUUUAGGUGCAGCGUCGCGUGUUCAGUAUCGGGGGUAGAGCACUGGAUGGUCUAGGGGGCCUACAAGCUUACCGAAAUCAACCAAACUCCGAAUACCGAUACUCCAGAACGCGGCAGUGAGACCAUGGGGGAUAAGCUUCAUGGUCGAAAGGGAAACAGCCCAGAACGCCAGCUAAGGCCCCAAAUUCUGUACUAAGUGGCAAACGAUGUGGGAUUGCAUAGACAGCCAGGAGGUUGGCUCAGAAGCAGCCAUCCUUAAAAGAGUGCGUAAUAGCUCACUGGUCGAGUGAUCCUGCGCGGACAAUGUAACGGGGCUCAAGUACAGAGCCGAAGCUGCGUCAUUCUGCUUUUAGCAGGAUGGGUAGGGGAGCGUCGAUCUCAGCAGUGAAGCGGGGGCGGAAGCGUCCGUGGAGCGUGAUCGAGUGCGAAUGCCGGUAUGAGUAGCGAAAGAGGGGGGAGGAACCCCUCCGCCGAAUGCCCAAGGGUUCCUGGGGAAGGCUCAUCCGCCCAGGGUUAGUCGGGAGCUAAGGCGAGGCCGAAAGGCGUAGUCGAUGCACAACAGGUUGAUAUUCCUGUACCACCAUGUCCGCGCCCAAGCCAAGGGUUUGCUGCCCAGAGGAUGUCUUCGGACGAAUCUGGACCAGGGGCCGGCGGCUAGCGAAGGGGGGACGCAGGAGGGUAGUUCAGCCCAGGCGUUGGUUGUCCUGGGGCAAGCGUGUAGGGAGUCCGAUAGGUAAAUCCGUCGGGCACAUAUCCUGAGACGUGACGCCGAACCGUAAAAGGUGAAGUGAAUGAUCCCAUGCUGCCGAGAAAAGCCUCUAGCGAGCUGACAUGGUGCCCGUACCCCAAACCGACUCAGGUGGGCAAGUAGAGAAUACUAAGGCGAUCGAGAUAACUCUGGUUAAGGAACUCGGCAAACUGCCCCCGUAACUUCGGGAGAAGGGGGGCCUCGAUAGGGUGGAGGGCUUUACGCCCCGAGCUCGAGGAGGCCGCAGAGACCAGGGCCAAGCGACUGUUUACUAAAAACACAGGUGCGUGCUAAGUCGCAAGACGACGUAUACGCACUGACGCCUGCCCGGUGCCGGAAGGUUACGUGGAGGGGUUAGCCGUAAGGCGAAGCUCUGAAACUAAGCCCCGGUAAACGGCGGCCGUAACUAUAACGGUCCUAAGGUAGCGAAAUUCCUUGUCGGGUAAGUUCCGACCUGCACGAAUGGCGUAACGACUUGGCUACUGUCUCAACCAGAGACUCGGCGAAAUUGCAAUACGAGUAAAGAUGCUCGUUACCCGCAACAGGACGGAAAGACCCCGUGGACCUUUACUGCAGCUUGCUGUUGGGUUUUGAUUCAAAUUGUGUAGGAUAGGUGGGAGUCUUGGAAGCCGUGGCGUUAGCCAUGGUGGAGACAACGUUGAAAUACCACCCUGUUUGUAUUGGAACUCUAACCCAGGCCCGUUAUCCGGGUCGGGGACAGCGUCAGGUGGGCAGUUUGACUGGGGCGGUCGCCUCCUAAAGAGUAACGGAGGCGCCCAAAGGUUCCCUCAGCCUGGUUGGCAAUCAGGCGUCGAGUGCAAAGGCACAAGGGAGCUUGACUGCGAGACCUACAAGUCGAGCAGGUGCGAAAGCAGGGCUUAGUGACCCGGCCGUGGCGUGUGGAAGCGCGGUCGAUCAACGGAUAAAAGGUACCCCGGGGAUAACAGGCUUAUCUUCCCCAAGAGUCCACAUCGACGGGAAGGUUUGGCACCUCGAUGUCGGCUCGUCGCAUCCUGGGGGUGAAGCAUCUCCCAAGGGUUGGGCUGUUCGCCCAUUAAAGCGGUACGCGAGCUGGGUUUAGAACGUCGCGAGACAGUUCGGUCCCUAUCCGUUGCGGGCGUAAGAGAUUUGAGGGGAGCUGUCCCUAGUACGAGAGGACCGGGAUGGACGCAGCUCUAGUGUGCCAGUUGUUCCGCCAGGAGCACGGCUGGUUGGCUACCUGCGGAAGAGAUAAGCGCUGAAAGCAUAUAAGCGCGAAACUCGCCUCGAGACGAGAUCUCUCACCGGGUUAACCGGGUAAGGCCCCUAGUAGACGACUAGGUAGAUAGGCCGGAGGUGUACGCACGGCAACGUGUUUAGCCGACCGGUACUAAUCGGCCGAGGGCUUGAGAUU
rnacentral:rRNA from 1 species